rnacentral:misc_RNA from 1 species
GGAUGCACCUUAUUAUUUGCAAUAAUCAUUUACUUCUUCUUGGAAUGGAACCCCUACCUAGAGUACACAAGUAUGAGAUGCCUCGUGCAUUGGGUGACCCUUCUUCUUGGUAUGGAACAUUUGAAGUUUAAUCAUAGUUUUUGCAAGUUUUUAGAAAAUUGUUUCACUUUCAAUCCGAAGGGAGUACUGAGCCUAUCCAUCAUCUUGGUGUGUCCAUCACUAACAUAAUCAUUCUAGCAUGAAGAGACCAAGUAAAAAACAUGCUGAUGCCUUUUGAACUCAUUUUUUAGUCCAACAGAGAAUUUUCAAUUUGUGGAAGUUGAUUUGAGUUCUUGGACAUGCCAUGACUAAUUAGAGGAAAAUUGACAAGUCAUUUAUAUGAUCUUUGAGAUGCUUUUUAAUUGGUGGCUUGCAGAACAUGGAUGAAGCACACAGCA